UUUUGCUCUUGUUGCCCAGGCUGGAGUGCAAUGGUGUGAUCUCAACUUACUGCAAAUUCCACCUCCUGGGUUCCAGUGGUUCUCCUGCCUCAGCCUCCCGAGUAGCUGAGAUUACAGACAGCCUCCACCUUGCCUGGCUGAUUUUUGUAUUUUUAGUAGAGACGGUUUCAUCAAGUUGGCCAGGCUGGUCUCAAACUCCUGACCUCAGGUGAUCUGCAUGCCUCAUACUCCCAAAGUACUGGGAUUACAGGCACAAGCCACUGUGCCCGGCCAAUACUGCAAAAUAUUUUAAAAAGUUAAAAUUAUCUCUUCUGGCUGGUCAUAGUGGCUCACACUUUUAAUCCCAGCACACUGGGAAGCUCAGUCAGAAGGAUUCCUUGAGGCCAGGAGUUCAAGAUCAGUCUGGGCAACACAGACCCCAUAUCUCCAAAAAAAUAAAAAUAAAUAAAUAAAACAGUUAUCAGGCUGGGAGUGGUGGCUCAUGCCUGUAAUCCCACCACUUUGGGAGGCUGAGGCAGGCAGAUCAUGAGGUCAAGAGAUCAAGACCAUCCUGGCCAACAUGUUGAAACCCCGUCUUUACUAAAAAUACAAAAAUUAGCUGGGCACGGUAUUGUGCCCCUGUAAUCCCAGCUACUCAGGAGGCUGAGGCAGGAGAAUCUCUUGAACCCCUGAAGUGGAGGUUUCAAUGAGCCUAGAUCACACCACUGCACUCCAGCCUGACGACAGAGCGAGAAUCCGUCUC
rnacentral:lncRNA from 1 species